GACGUAGGAGGCGAGCGUUAUCCGGAUUCACUGGGCGUAAAGCGCAUGUAGGCGGUUGGACAAGUCGUGUGUUAAAGCCCCUGGCUCAACUGGGGGAGGUCAUGCGAGACUGUGCGACUUGAGGGCAAGAGAGGCACGUGGAACUCCCGGUGUAGCGGUGGAAUGCGUAGAGAUCGGGAAGGACACCAGUGGCGAAGGCGACGUGCUGGGUUGCACCUGACGCUGAGAUGCGAAAGUGUGGGGAGCAAACGGG
rnacentral:rRNA from 1 species